UGAAACUGCGAAUGGCUCAUUAUAUCAGUCUAAAUAUACUUGAUAGUACCUUACUACUUGGAUAACCGUGGUAAUUCUAGAGCUAAUACAUGCUAAAAACCCAGACUUCGGAAUGGGUGUAUUUAUUAGAUAAAAAACCAAUGCCCUUCGGGGCUCCCUGGUGAUUCAUGAUAACUUAACGAAUCGCAUGGCCUUGUGCCGGCGAUGGUUCAUUCUAUAUUCUGCCCUAUCAACUUUCGAUGGUAGGAUAGUGGCCUACCAUGGUGUUAACGGGUAACGGGGAAUUAGGGUUCUAUUCCGGAGAGGGAGCCUGAGAAACGGCUACCACAUCCAAGGAAGGCAGCAGGCGCGCAAAUUACCCAAUCCCGACACGGGGAGGUAGUGACAAUAAAUACUG
rnacentral:rRNA from 1 species